rnacentral:rRNA from 1 species
GCCCUGGCAGUCAGAGGCGAUGAAGGGCGUGCUAAUCUGCGAUAAGCGCCGGUAAGGUGAUAUGAACCGUUAUAACCGGCGAUACCCGAAUGGGGAAACCCAGUGUGAUUCGUCACACUAUCAUUAACUGAAUCCAUAGGUUAAUGAGGCGAACCGGGGGAACUGAAACAUCUAAGUACCCCGAGGAAAAGAAAUCAACCGAGAUUCCCCCAGUAGCGGCGAGCGAACGGGGAGGAGCCCAGAGCCUGAAUCAGCAUGUGUGUUAGUGGAAGCGUCUGGAAAGGCGCGCGAUACAGGGUGACAGCCCCGUACACAAAAGCGCAUGUGCUGUGAGCUCGAUGAGUAGGGCGGGACACGUGGUAUCCUGUCUGAAUAUGGGGGGACCAUCCUCCAAGGCUAAAUACUCCUGACUGACCGAUAGUGAACCAGUACCGUGAGGGAAAGGCGAAAAGAACCCCGGCGAGGGGAGUGAAAAAGAACCUGAAACCGUGUACGUACAAGCAGUGGGAGCACAGGUUUACCUGUGUGACUGCGUACCUUUUGUAUAAUGGGUCAGCGACUUAUAUUCUGUAGCAAGGUUAACCGAAUAGGGGAGCCGGAGGGAAACCGAGUCUUAAC